UAUUGCACAAUGGGCGAAAGCCUGAUGCAGCGACGCCGCGUGAGGGAUGACGGCCUUCGGGUUGUAAACCUCUUUCAGCAGGGAAGAAGCGAAAGUGACGGUACCUGCAGAAGAAGCGCCGGCUAACUACGUGCCAGCAGCCGCGGUAAUACGUAGGGCGCAAGCGUUGUCCGGAAUUAUUGGGCGUAAAGAGCUCGUAGGCGGCUUGUCACGUCGGGUGUGAAAGCCCGGGGCUUAACCCCGGGUCUGCAUUCGAUACGGGCUAGCUAGAGUGUGGUAGGGGAGAUCGGAAUUCCUGGUGUAGCGGUGAAAUGCGCAGAUAUCAGGAGGAACACCGGUGGCGAAGGCGGAUCUCUGGGCCAUUACUGACGCUGAGGAGCGAAAGCGUGGGGAGCGAACAGGAUUAGAUACCCUGGUAGUCCACGCCGUAAACGGUGGGAACUAGGUGUUGGCGACAUUCCACGUCGUCGGUGCCGCAGCUAACGCAUUAAGUUCCCCGCCUGGGGGAGUACGGCCGCAAGGCUAAAACUCAAAGGAAUUGACGGGGGCCCGCACAAGCAGCGGAGCAUGUGGCUUAAUUCGACGCAACGCGAAGAACCUUACCAAGGCUUGACAUACACCGGAAAGCAUUAGAGAUAGUGCCCCCCUUGUGGUCGGUGUACAGGUGGUGCAUGGCUGUCGUCAGCUCGUGUCGUGAGAUGUUUGGGUUAAGUCCCGCAACGAGCGCAACCCUUUGUCCUGUGUUGCCAGCGUGCCCUUUCGGGGUGACGGGGACUCACAGGAGACCGCCGGGGUCAACUCGGAGGAAAGGUGGGGGACAACGUCAAGUCAUCAUGGCCCCUUAAGGCUUGGGGCUGCCAACCUGGCUACAAUAGGCCGGUACAAUUGAGCUGGCGAUACCCGUGAGGUGGAGCGAAAUCUCAAAAAGCCGGGUCUCAGUUCUCGAAUUGGGGUCUUGCAACUCGACCCCAUGAAGUCCGAGAUUGCUAGUAAUCGCAGAUCAGCAUUGCUGCGGUGAAUAACGUUUCCCGGCCUUGGUACACACCGCCCGCUCACGUCACGAAAGUCGGUAACACCCGAAGCCGGUGGCCCAACC
rnacentral:rRNA from 1 species